GCUGGCGUAGCUCAGUAGGUAGAGCAGUGGUUUUGUAAACCACGGGUCGGGGGUUCGAUUCCCUUCGCCAGCUCCA
rnacentral:tRNA from 1 species